AAUUCUGAGCAAAUCUCGUCAUAUUGGAUGUCGAAUUCAGUUGUGAUCAACGGCCAUCCCAAAUUUGAGCAAAUCUUCUAAAAUCGGACGACCAAUUCUAUGGAUUUUGAUUGAAUCUGUCGUUUUCAGCUUAUAAUUGACGCCGAAGUUGUUAUCUUAUGGACUCUUUAUCUAACACAGGACCAAUAGAAGAUUAAGGAUGGAGGUAAAUACUGGGAGCAGAGGAGUCUCUGGCGUUUGAUCUUGGACGAAAAGAUUUGGGCUCAAAACAAAC